GCAACAGCUCAAAUUUGAAAUCUGGCUCCUUCGGGGUCCGAGUUGUAAUUUGUAGAGGGUGCUUCGAGCGAAGCCCCGGCCCAAGUCCCUUGGAACAGGACGUCAGAGAGGGUGAGAACCCCGUGUCCGGCCGGCGGCGCUCCUCGUGUGAAGCCCCUUCGACGAGUCGAGUUGUUUGGGAAUGCAGCUCUAAAUUGGUGGUAAAUUCCAUCUAAAGCUAAAUACCGGCCAGAGACCGAUAGCGCACAAGUAGAGUGAUCGAAAGAUGAAAAGCACUUUGAAAAGAGAGUUAAAAAGUACGUGAAAUUGUUGAAAGGGAAGCGCUUGCGGCCAGACUUGCCCGCGGAGGUUCAGCCCGUCUUCUGGCGGGUGCACUCCUUCGCGGUCAGGCCAGCAUCGGUUUGGGCGGUCGGACAAAGGCCUUGGGAACGUAGCCCCCUCCGGGGGGUGUUAUAGCCCUCGGUGCAAUGCGGCCAGCCCGGACCGAGGAUCGCGCUCUGCUAGGAUGCUGGCGUAAUGGCUGUAAGCGGCCCGUCUUGAAACACGGACCAAGGAGUCUAACAUCUAUGCGAGUGUUUGGGUGUCAAACCCGUGCGCGUAAUGAAAGUGAACGGAGGUGGGAGCCUUAGGGUGCACCAUCGACCGAUCCUGAUGUCUUCGGAAGGAUUUGAGUAAGAGCAUAGCUGUUGGGACCCGAAAGAUGGUGAACUAUGCCUAGAUAGGGUGAAGCCAGAGGAAACUCUGGUGGAGGCUCGCAGCGGUUCUGACGUGCAAAUCGAUCGUCAA
rnacentral:rRNA from 1 species